GCUCCUGCUGGGGCGAUGGGCAGGGCCCCACCCCCUUCCUCCCAGGGCACCAGAGCCAGUGGCUGCGCGGGUGGGUCAGCCUGGAAGACCCGGGGCGGGAGAGAGGAGCCGGCCCAGGACGUGUCCCCAGCGGCUGGACGAGAGGCUGUGUGCUCGGGCCCCGACACAGACUCGGAAACACUGCCGAGGUCCCUGCCUUCGGCCUCUCGGGAUUGGUCACGGGAAGCGGGCGCUGGCUUCUCGGCUCGCCCUGCCACAGGCUCGGGACACCCUUUUGCCCACAGGAGCAGCAGCUGAAGACGCCUGAGCCCCGGGAGCCCCGGGCCUGCUUCCUGGGCCCUGCACUCCCAGGGCUGCACCCCAGCCUGGCCCACCUGCAGUGGGCGUCCUGUCACCUCGACGACCCCGGCCGGUGGAGUGGUGGAGAGGGUGUGAACUCUGUAGUCAGCUGGCUCUGAGCUGGGCAUGGUCCCCCGGAGCAGAGCUCCUUCAAAUCCCCGCUCCGCCCCCAGCCGGCUGAGUAACCUCGGGCGACCAGAGACCCCACCCUGCCCCUGCCCCCCGGGUAUUGUGAGCAGCUGGUGAGUUCACUCCAGCAGGGGGCGCUGAGUGGGGCGGCCGGGUGGCUGAUCGGGUUACAAAGACUUUGUUUUCAGGACGCCCCGAGGAAGCAAAAGGCAGAAUGGAGGGCCUCCUGCCUGUCCGGGGGAAGCAGAGAAGCCUGGACGCGGCUGCCGGAGGGGCAGGGCGGCAGGGCACAGGGCGAGGUCCUGAGCCCAGCAGGGCCCCGUCGCGGUGGACAUGGCCCCCCCCACCUCGUCCCGCCAGCAGGGCUGCACAACCGAGGAGACUCCCAGAGACAGCUCAGCAGAACCCCCCGCAGCCCUGCCAACGGACCCCACCGACACUGCGGCCGUGUCCCCCGCCAGGCGCUCAGGCCCUCAUCACUCUCCUCCAGCGUCCCCCCGACUUUCUAGCCCUGAUCCCUAAAGGGCAGAGGGAGGGGCUCUCUGAGCAGAAAUAGGUCGUAAGCAGUUUCCCUCCUCAGGAAGCAGCUAUUUCAUAAAUA